UACGGGGGGAGCAAGCGUUGUUCGGAUUUACUGGGCGUAAAGGGCGCGUAGGCGGCCACCGCAGGUCGACUGUGAAAUCUCUGGGCUUAACCCAGAAAGGUCAGCCGAUACUGCGGGGCUAGAGUGCAGAAGGGGCAACUGGAAUUCUCGGUGUAGCGGUGAAAUGCGUAGAUAUUGGGAAGAACACCUGAGGCGAAGGCGGGUUGCUGGGCUGAUACUGACGCUGAGGCGCGAAAGCGUGGGGAGCGAACAGG
rnacentral:rRNA from 1 species